UUUAGAAACUAAAAUGACCAAAAUAGCGUUUUAUCUUUUGAAAAUUUUAAUUUUUUUUAUUUUUCAAAAUUUGAAAUCUUAUCCCAAAACUCCACUCCCAGACUCUAAAUCCUAAAACCUAAACUCUAAACGGUAAACCCUAAACUCUAAACCCUAAAUCCUAAACCCUAAACCCUAAAUCCUAAACCCCACUCCUUAACUCUAAACCCUAACCCCUAAACUCCACCUCUAAAUUCUAAACCCUAAACCCUAAACUCUAAACCCUAAACCCUAAACCCUAAACCCUAAACCCUAAG
rnacentral:lncRNA from 1 species